rnacentral:lncRNA from 1 species
GUUGCCAUGGAAUGAAGGAACUAUGGCGGGGAUUGAGGGAAACCAGUCCUGACGUGCAGGAGGAUUCCAGGCCCAAUCUUACUGGAUAUGAGCCUAGCUUCGGACAGGAGGGUAGCUACUUCUGCAAGUGUCUUCUCUACACUAAGCUCUUCCCACCCAAACGGAGCUCACCGCCCCCCUUGUGUACUCUUCGGCACGUCUUCACCAGAACACUCGAUACAUUGCCAAAUCAUUGUCUGUUUAGACGAGAGUCUUGACGGCAGGGACUCUUGUUCACUUCUGUUCUCCCAUUGUGAGUAGCAUAAUGCCUGAAAUACCGUAAGUGCUGAAGAAAGGUUUGCGGGGUUGAUUAAUUAUUGAACUCUGAAUAAACAAUGGUCAUUUCGAGGACUAUGUUCUCUGGAGACUCUUUUGCUUUUGAUCCAUGGAUUCCCUCAUGUACGGCCUGAACGGUCUGAGAGAUAAGAUACCAGCGCUGUUUCAGAGCCUCUCAGCGGCCGCCUUAGGGGCUGGAUUUAUUGCCUUCUUGAGUGAAAUGUUGGCCUUCAAUUUUGCUGAGCUGUCAAGAGGUGAUUUUAGGUGUGUGGCUGUUGAUUGUCCCACAAGCUAACUUUUUAAGUCAAAAAUACCACCCAGCACUGAAAUGGAGGUUGGUUAUGAGGUGUUAACAGGACCUCUGGGCCACCAAAGAAAAAGGGAUGGGGAAGCCAAGAGAAACACCCUGCUCCCAAUUUUAAAAUGAAAUUAGUAAAAUAAAGAAAUAAAAUGAAAUAGUAAAAUAAAGGAAGAAAUUUGAAACUAUAAAAAAUUUAAAGCUUUUAGUGAAAAAAAAAGGAGGGGGGUGAUGGUUAACAGAGCAGGAUUUGAAAUCAAACAAACUAGUUUAAAAUUCUGAUUCCUCAUUGCCUUUGCUCUACAGCGCAAGUUCCUGACCAUGAGCCUCGCUGUCUUGUCUGUAAAGUGGUGCUGGUGUCUGCCUCUUAGGUAAGCAUUAGCUAAUGCAUGUGAAGUAUCUAAAACCACUCCAAUUAUAUAGCAAAGGCUCAAUAAAAGGUCGUUGUUAUUCAAACAGUUAAAUUGUAUUAAUUUACUUAAUGAACAUUUAUUCAGCACCCACCCUGUGCCAGACACUGUGCUUCACUCAUUGACAUAGAAUGGUGAGCAAGUAUGUGCAGGGUCUGUGCCCUCACAGAGCUUCAUGGUGAAUUGUAAAAGUAGCCAUAGGUUCAGUGGGUUCCCUUUCCGUGCCACCGCACUUUGACACUGAACUCAGCCAUGUGACUGGCUUUGAGCAAUGGGAUGUUAGACAACAUAU